AUGCAAGUCGAACGGUAGCACAGAGGAGCUUGCUCCUCGGGUGACGAGUGGCGGACGGGUGAGUAAUGUCUGGGGAUCUGCCCGAUGGAGGGGGAUAACCACUGGAAACGGUGGCUAAUACCGCAUAACGUCGCAAGACCAAAGUGGGGGACCUUCGGGCCUCACACCAUCGGAUGAACCCAGAUGGGAUUAGCUAGUAGGUGGGGUAACGGCUCACCUAGGCGACGAUCCCUAGCUGGUCUGAGAGGAUGACCAGCCACACUGGAACUGAGACACGGUCCAGACUCCUACGGGAGGCAGCAGUGGGGAAUAUUGCACAAUGGGCGCAAGCCUGAUGCAGCCAUGCCGCGUGUAUGAAGAAGGCCUUCGGGUUGUAAAGUACUUUCAGCGGGGAGGAAGGGGAUGAGGUUAAYARCCUCGUUCAUUGACGUUACCCGCAGAAGAAGCACCGGCUAACUCCGUGCCAGCAGCCGCGGUAAUACGGAGGGUGCAAGCGUUAAUCGGAAUUACUGGGCGUAAAGCGCACGCAGGCGGUCUGUUAAGUCAGAUGUGAAAUCCCCGGGCUUAACCUGGGAACUGCAUUUGAAACUGGCAGGCUUGAGUCUUGUAGAGGGGGGUAGAAUUCCAGGUGUAGCGGUGAAAUGCGUAGAGAUCUGGAGGAAUACCGGUGGCGAAGGCGGCCCCCUGGACAAAGACUGACGCUCAGGUGCGAAAGCGUGGGGAGCAAACAGGAUUAGAUACCCUGGUAGUCCACGCCGUAAACGAUGUCGACUUGGAGGCUGUGAGCAUGACUCGUGGCUUCCGGAGCUAACGCGUUAAGUCGACCGCCUGGGGAGUACGGCCGCAAGGUUAAAACUCAAAUGAAUUGACGGGGGCCCGCACAAGCGGUGGAGCAUGUGGUUUAAUUCGAUGCAACGCGAAGAACCUUACCUGCUCUUGACAUCCACGGAAUUUGGCAGAGAUGCCUUAGUGCCUUCGGGAACCGUGAGACAGGUGCUGCAUGGCUGUCGUCAGCUCGUGUUGUGAAAUGUUGGGUUAAGUCCCGCAACGAGCGCAACCCUUAUCCUUUGUUGCCAGCGAUUCGGUCGGGAACUCAAAGGARACUGCCGUGAUAACCGGAGGAAGGKGGGGAUGACGUCAGUCAUCAUGGCCCUUACAACAGGGCUAC
rnacentral:rRNA from 1 species